rnacentral:rRNA from 1 species
ACGAGCGCUGGCGGCGUGCUUAACACCUGCAAGUCGAACGGUGAAGCGCCUUCCUUUUUGGUGGGUGUGGAUGAGUGGCGAACGGGUGAGUAACACGUGAGUAACCUGCCCCCUUCUUCUGGAUAACCGCAUGAAAGUGUGGCUAAUACGGGAUAUUCUGGGUCUGUCGCAUGAUGGGUCUGGGAAAGAUAUUGUUUCGGUGGGGGAUGGGCUCGCGGCCUAUCAGCUUGUUGGUGGGGUGAUGGCCUACCAAGGCGGUGACGGGUAGCCGGCCUGAGAGGGUGGACGGUCACACUGGGACUGAGACACGGCCCAGACUCCUACGGGAGGCAGCAGUGGGGAAUAUUGCACAAUGGGCGCAAGCAUGAUGCAGCGACGCCGCGGGAGGGAUGGAGGCCUUCGGGUUGUGAACCUCUUUCGCCAGUGAAGCAGGCCUGCCUCGUUUGUGGGUGGGUUGACGGUAGCUGGAUAAGAAGCGCCGGCUAACUACGUG